AAUAAGUCCAGGGUUCUUUCGAACCUUAUUCGAAUUUGCACUUCGGGCUACUGAACCU
rnacentral:tRNA from 1 species